CCUUGCUUUCGUUGUGUCACUUUGAACAGUUUUCCUGUAACUUGAAGAUUUGAGAACAAGUAUUUACCUUGCAAAGUUGAGCUUGUCAGAAGGGGUCUCAAGAGGCCCUACUCUGACAAAUUGUGUAGGAAUAUUCACAAAUGUCUCCAGCUGCAGAUGGAACAAGAAUGGCUGGUGGUCAUACAGUGCUUGGUUAAGUGUGUAUAUGGUAUGACUUGUAUGACAUCAUCUUAGUAACUUUUUUUUUUUCUCUGUAAUGAAUACUUUUGCUUUUUUCCCUUACCCAUUCUUCUCAUGGGGCUCACCUGUGCAGAACAAUGCCUCAGUGCAUGAUGACUGAAAUAUUCAUCUACAAGGUGGAAUGAAAAACUGAGUUCAACACUGAGAUGCUCUUGAAAGUGCUGACAAAUGACAGCAUCAAGUUCUGCCACAUCUGAGAUGGAGGGGGGCAAAGAACCAAACAAUCAUCACUGUGCGGCAUGUGAUCCUGAGUUAAAGAAAUUUAAUGAAAAAAAGCUGUAGUGAAGGAAUUAUAUGGUUACAAAAUCAGACACCAAAACAGUAGGUGAAAUCCAUUUGUAACCUUAAGUAUGUCAUCAGUUCAUUGAAGAAAGGGAUGAUCCAGCAAAGCUAGUCUCGAUGGCCUCUGGUCAGUGGCCUCACUCCUUCCUGAGGCUUUGAAGGACUCCAUUACCAAGUAGCUUCUGCUGCUGGUCAUGAGACAGAGAUGAAGUGUGGGAACAGCACUGGAAUUAAUGAGGAGUGAAAAAUAUACUAACUUGACACUCUACAGUAGCAGGAGCAUUUUUGUUGUCUUGUUGCACUGACU
rnacentral:lncRNA from 1 species